CCUACGGGGUGCUGCAGUGGGGAAUAUUGGACAAUGGGCGAAAGCCCGAUCCAGCCAUGCCGCGUGUGUGAAGAAGGCCUUCGGGUUGUAAAGCACUUUCAGUGGGGAAGAAAGCCUUGGGGCUAAUACCCUCGAGGAAGGACAUCACCCACAGAAGAAGCACCGGCUAACUCCGUGCCAGCAGCCGCGGUAAUACGGAGGGUGCGAGCGUUAAUCGGAAUUACUGGGCGUAAAGCGCGCGUAGGCGGUCUGAUAAGCCGGUUGUGAAAGCCCCGGGCUCAACCUGGGAACGGCAUCCGGAACUGUCAGGCUAGAGUGCAGGAGAGGAAGGUAGAAUUCCCGGUGUAGCGGUGAAAUGCGUAGAGAUCGGGAGGAAUACCAGUGGCGAAGGCGGCCUUCUGGACUGACACUGACGCUGAGGUGCGAAAGCGUGGGUAGCAAACAGGAUUAGAUACCCGGGUAGUC
rnacentral:rRNA from 1 species